UACCAGCACCCCGAGUGGUCGGGACGAUUAUUGGGCCUAAAGCAUCCGUAGCCGGUCAUGCAAGUCUUCCGUUAAAUCCAGCCGCUCAACGGUUGGGCUGCGGAGGAUACUACGUGGCUAGGAGGCGGGAGAGGCAAGCGGUACUCAGUGGGUAGGGGUAAAAUCCUUUGAUCCAUUGAAGACCACCAGUGGCGAAGGCGGCUUGCCAGAACGCGCUCGACGGUGAGGGAUGAAAGCUGGGGGGAGCAAAGCCGG
rnacentral:rRNA from 1 species